rnacentral:sRNA from 1 species
AGCUUAUCAGAAAGCGUCAUAAUUUUCUUAGAAUUUUGUUCUGCCUUCUUGAUUCUUUGUUUGGCAUAUUUCUCUCGAUCGCUUUAUCAUGACGGAAGACGAUUUGGAGCGACAAAUCCAUUGUAAGUAAUCUUCCAAUUCUCUUGAUUUCUAGUGUUUCUAAAUUUAAAUAUCAUCAACUCUUUCUCUGUUUCGCAUGUUUCUGUCGAUCGAAACAUUUAUGGCCGAAGAAGAUUUGUAGCGAUAACCACUGUAAGAAUUCUUCUAAUCCACUUGAUUUCUAGGGUUUCUAAAUUUUGCUAUUAUCAUGUUUUUGUUUGGUUCUCUUUUCGUUUUGCAAAACCAAACGAAUCGCGACUCUGCGUUUCAAAGUUUCUGUGAAUUAAAGAUUGUUGCUUUCUUCCUUUUUGUGUUAGGUUUUGGUUUUCGUUUUGUUUUUUUUGUACCGCUUUAUUGUUGCGAUCGGUUGUGGUUUUGUUGCUCUUGUUUUGCUGUUUUGUUUGUUUGAUUUCUUCAUUGUUUUGUUUUUCUUUCAAACCCAAGAGAAAUCAUAGGCAGACACUCAACUAUUAGUGUUCUGUCAGAUUCUUUCUUGGGGACAUUGUCCCGUCAAGUUGGCUUAUGAGGGAUUUUGACCUGAGACUGAAAACCGAUCUUUUACCCACGGCUUAUUAUUUUGACAAAUAUACUUGGAAUUGGUUUCAGUUUACUGGUCAAAGAUCAAGUUACCCACGGCUUAAAACUUUAGUCUUUAGACUUAGACUUGAGACUGAACAUUGAUCCUUCUUUGUACCCAUGGCUUUAAAAUCUCUAGACAUAUGGAUCAUGUUCAGUUUCUUGUUUCAGUUUUUAGACAAAGCUCAAGUUACCCACGGCUUAAAAAAGUCUUUAGACAGAGACGGCUUAAGAAAGUCUUUAGACAGAGACUUAAGGGACAAAAUUCGGAUUGGGUUAUGUUUGGUGCAAGGAAAAGAGGGUACCCACGGCUUCAAACACACAUUGAUCCUUGAUUCGAACUUUAGACAAUUACCCACGGCUUUAGAAAUAAAAGUCUGAACAUUGAUCUUGUUUGGUACCCGCGGCUUUAAAAUCUAUAGACAUAUGGAUCAUGUUCGGUUUCUUGUUUCAAUCUUUAGACAAAGAUUAAGUUACCCACGACUUAAAAAAUUCUUCAGACAGAGACUUGAGGUUCGAAAACACCAAUCUUUAGACAAAAUACUGGAUUGGGUUAUGUUUGGUGAAAGGAAUGGCACGGCUUCAAACUUUAGUCUUUAGAUUGAGACUUGAGACUGAACAUUGAU